rnacentral:rRNA from 1 species
AUUGAACGCUGGCGGCAGGCCUAACACAUGCAAGUCGAGCGGUAACACAGAGGAGCUUGCUCCUUGGGUGACGAGCGGCGGACGGGUGAGUAAUGCCUGGGGAUCUGCCCGAUAAAGGGGGGUAACUACGGGAAACUGUAGCUAAUACCGCAUAAUGUCUACGGACCAAAGUGGGGGAUCUUCGGACCUCAUGCUAUCGGAUGAACCCAGGUGGGAUUAGCUAGUUGGUGAGGUAAUGGCUCACCAAGGCGACGAUCUCUAACUGGUUUGAGAGAAUGACCAGUCACACUGGAACUGAGACACGGUCCAGACUCCUACGGGAGGCAGCAGUGGGGAAUAUUGCACAAUGGGCGCAAGCCUGAUGCAGCCAUGCCGCGUGUGUGAAGAAGGCCUUCGGGUUGUAAAGCACUUUCAGCGGGGAGGAAGGGUCACUAGUUAAUACCUAGUGGCAUUGACGUUACUCGCAGAAGAAGCACCGGCUAACUCCGUGCCAGCAGCCGCGGUAAUACGGAGGGUGCAAGCGUUAAUCGGAAUUACUGGGCGUAAAGCGCACGCAGGCGGUUUGUUAANUCANAUGUGAAAUCCCCNAGCUCAACUUGGGAACUGCAUUUGAAACUGGCAAGCUA